rnacentral:rRNA from 1 species
UACGUAGGCAGCAAGCGUUGUUCGGAAUUACUGGGCGUAAAGAGUGUGUAGGCGGUGUUCUAAGUUUGUCGUGAAAUCUCCCGGCUUAACUGGGAGGGUGCGGCGAAAACUGGAAUGCUAGAGGAUGGGAGAGGUAAGCGGAAUUCCUGGUGUAGCGGUGAAAUGCGUAGAUAUCAGGAGGAACACCGGCGGUGUAGACGGCUUGCUAGACCAUAACUGACGCUGAGGCACGAAAGCGUGGGUAGCAAACAGG